CAUGUCGGAAACAACAGGUGACAAAACAGCAGAAAUGUGAGGGUUAAAACUAAAACUAAAAAUACAGAAAAAUUAUGAACUGCUCAGCUUUCAGCAGUUUUAGCUUAGCUUAGCACAACAACCGGAACUGAAGGGAAACCGAAAAGAGAAGAAAUCCACGUGUCUGACUGGCAUGUUGUUAGCUAACGAGCUUGUCAUCAAUCUUGUAUGCAUGUAGUGAUGAAGUUAGGCUAGCUGUGCUAAGCUAGAUGGUAAACACAAGUUACUCUUUACUGUCGAUGGUGCUAAGCCAGCAGUUUUCAUCAGUUUUCGGAACAUGAGCUCAGCUAGGCUACAGAUAACUGUUAGCUCCUUUGGAAAGGCUAGCUGUUUAUCAUCACUGACAGCUAACAACUUCAGCUAGCUACAAACAUUUAAGGUCACAGUGGUUGUGCUAAUGGUUUGUAACUACCGUGACAUCAGCUAUAUAUUAACAACUGUUUUCUGGUCACGUUUCCCCUUGAAUUACAGUCUUUGUGCUAAGCUAAGUUAGCCUGGUCCCAGAUGUGAACUCAUGUGAUCAGGAGGGAUUCUGAACCAAAAACUUCCACAUGGACCAUCCGGUGUUUCUGCAUGUUCUGGCCUGCUAACAACAGAAAAACACGUUCAGGAGCAACUUCGGGAGCAGGCUGGGAGUCGUGUUGUGUGUGCUGAACGUGACUUUGUUAUAAGAUGGAUAAAUAAAACAUGUAAAAACGGCGGUUUGGUCCUUUAACUGCAGUCUGUUUGGUCUCUGAGCUGCUGAAUUAUUCAAAACCAUUUUCUUUUGUGUGACGGCUGCAGGAUGCGGAACUAAAACCUCUCAAAUCCCACACCCAUACAACCGCAUAAACACACCAUCCUCCUCCUCCUCCUGCCUAUCAGACUGAUUUUUAGUCCUCAGCUGUAAUUAGCAGAAGGAGCAGCUGCCGUUAAAUUAUUAAGGUUUUAUUACCAUCAGAAAUGGGUCGUUAAUACGUUAGAGUGUGUGUGUCUGUGUGUGUGUGAGGGAAUGUAAGUGUUAUAGUGUUAAUAUUUCAUACAAGUCAUCAGAUGUUCAGGAGACGCGAACAGAGAGCAGGAAGUCGGAAAUGGGUGUUAGAGGAGUGUGUGUGUGUGUGUGUGUGUGUGUUAGCGAUGCAUUCUGGGUAUAAAUAGACUUUACAUCUGGACUCGUGCAACUUUAAUGACUCCUCUUCACGAAUAUAAUUGGAGACGUUGACCUGCAGCCUCAUCUCAGUCAAGCAGCUUUCGGGUCUGCAGUUUGUCACCUGACCAGCUGCUGAUGAAAUUGCGUUAAUAUUGAUGAAUGCUGUCGUCGUUAGACACAAGCAGCCUCAUCAACACUGGUGUGUGUGUCCCGUUACCUGGCAGCAGCUGAUAUUGAUCAAAUUGCUCUGUGACUUAUUUAUAACCAAUAAAUAAUUGACCUGUUUUGUUCCGUCUUCAUGGUCAGCAGCUGCUCCAUGUGAGGGUCCCGUCCCCUCCUGAUGGUGUCGCACUGCCUGUCAGUUAAUGGCCUGUCUGACCGGAGUUCAGAAGGUUCUCCAGGGGGUCUGUGCAGUGUUCUUAAGGGUUUGUCUUCAAAGCCUUGUGGGUUCUCUGCAGGCUGUUAAAGAACUCUUCCAGAACGUUCUCCACCUCAUCCUCGUCGUAAUCUCUGACCAGGAAGAGCUCGCCGUCAUCAGCUCCUCGAAUCAUGGCUGAGAGACCUGCUCACAGAGA